rnacentral:tRNA from 1 species
GGGGAUUUAGCUCAGCGGCAUAAGCGCCUGCCUUGCAAGCAGGCAGUCGUGAGUUUUUAUUGGUAUCCCCA